rnacentral:RNase_P_RNA from 1 species
GGGAGCCCAGCAAGGGGGUCACGGGUUACUGAGGAAACUCCAGCCACCCGACCCCCAUGGGAGCCUAAAAGGCUGGGGUAGUACCCCAGGCAACUACACAAAAACAUUCCCAGUAAAGCGGGAAAUGAAGAUGAGUCCAUUGUGACCUAGGUAACUGGGUCACAUAGAUGAGACCCGCUUUACUGGUUGAAAUGGUAGUCCUCCCAGGUGAAAGUAAAGGGAGGAUGAGUAGGGGGAUCCGACUCCCUUGAGAACGCUAAGUCAAAUCCCCCUAAAUACAGAAGCUGGGUUAUUGCUGGGCUCCC